rnacentral:rRNA from 1 species
AGAGUUUGAUCCUGGCUCAGGAUGAACGCUAGCGGCAGGCCUAACACAUGCAAGUCGAGGGGCAGCACAGAAAUAGCUUGCUAUUUGGGUGGCGACCGGCGCACGGGUGCGUAACGCGUAUGCAACCUACCCUGUACUGAGGGAUAGCCCGGAGAAAUUCGGAUUAACACCUCAUAGUAUUGAGAGAUCGCAUGAUUUUUCAAUUAAAGGUUACGGUACAGGAUGGGCAUGCGUCCUAUUAGCUAGAUGGUAAGGUAACGGCUUACCAUGGCUACGAUAGGUAGGGGGCCUGAGAGGGUGGUCCCCCACACUGGUACUGAGACACGGACCAGACUCCUACGGGAGGCAGCAGUGAGGAAUAUUGGUCAAUGGGCGCAAGCCUGAACCAGCCAUGCCGCGUGCAGGAAGAAUGCCCUAUGGGUUGUAAACUGCUUUUAUUUAGGAAUAAACCUUACUACGUGUAGUAAGCUGAAGGUACUGAAUGAAUAAGCACCGGCUAACUCCGUGCCAGCAGCCGCGGUAAUACGGAGGGUGCAAGCGUUAUCCGGAAUCAUUGGGUUUAAAGGGUUCGAAGGCGGAUGUAUA